AGUGAACGCUGGCGGUAGGCCUAACACAUGCAAGUCGAACGGCAGCACAGUAAGAGCUUGCUCUUACGGGUGGCGAGUGGCGGACGGGUGAGGAAUACAUCGGAAUCUACUUUUUCGUGGGGGAUAACGUAGGGACACUUACGCCAAUACCGCAUACGACCUACGGGUGAAAGCAGGGGACCUUCGGACCUUGCGCGAUUGAAUGAGCCGAUGUCGGAUUAGCUAGUUGGCGGGGUAAAGGCCCACCAAGGCGACGAUCCGUAGCUGGUCUGAGAGGAUGAUCAGCCACACUGGAACUGAGACACGGUCCAGACUCCUACGGGAGGCAGCAGUGGGGAAUAUUGGACAAUGGGCGCAAGCCUGAUCCAGCCAUACCGCGUGGGUGAAGAAGGCCUUCGGGUUGUAAAGCCCUUUUGUUGGGAAAGAAAAGCAGCAGGUUAAUACCCCGCUGUUCUGACGGUACCCAAAGAAUAAGCACCGGCUAACUUCGUG
rnacentral:rRNA from 1 species